AGCAGCCGCGGUAAUUCCAGCUCCAAUAGCGUAUAUUAAAGUUGUUGCAGUUAAAAAGCUCGUAGUUGAAUUUCGGGGUUCUACCGUUGGUCGGGCUAUAGUCUGUACUGGCGCGUGGAAUUUCUACCUUCUGGGGAACUAUCAUGUUAUUAAUUUAGCGUGGUAGGAAACCAGAACCUUUACCUUGAAAAAUUAGAGUGUUCAAAGCAGGCUUACGUCUGAAUACAUUAGCAUGGAAUAAUAAAAUAGGACGGUGGUCCUGUUUUGUUGGUUUCUGAACCACCGUAAUGAUUAGUAGGGAUAGUUGGGGGCAUUAGUAUUCGAUUGUCAGAGGUGAAAUUCUUGGAUUUAUUGAAGACUAACUUCUGCGAAAGCAUUUGCCAAGGAUGUUUUCAUUAAUCAAGAACGAAAGUUAGGGGAUCGAAGACGAUCAGAUACCGUCGUAGUCUUAACCAUAAACUAUGCCGACU
rnacentral:sRNA from 1 species